UACGGGGGGAGCAAGCGUUGUUCGGAUUUACUGGGCGUAAAGGGCGCGUAGGCGGUAGCACAAGUCAGUUGUGAAAUCUCCGGGCUUAACUCGGAACGGUCAGAUGAUACUGUUUUGCUAGAGUACAGAAGGGGCAAUCGGAAUUCUUGGUGUAGCGGUGAAAUGCGUAGAUAUCAAGAGGAACACCUGAGGUGAAGACGGGUUGCUGGGCUGAUACUGACGCUGAAGCGCGAAAGCUAGGGUAGCAAACGGG
rnacentral:rRNA from 1 species